GACGAACGCUGGCGGCGUGCCUAAUACAUGCAAGUAGAACGCACAGUUUAUACCUUCGCUUGCUACACCAUAAACUGUGAGUUGCGAACGGGUGAGUAACGCGUAGGUAACCUGCCUGGUAGCGGGGGAUAACUAUUGGAAACGAUAGCUAAUACCGCAUAAUAUUGAUUAUUGCAUGAUAAUUGAUUGAAAGAUGCUAUUGCAUCACUACCAGAUGGACCUGCGUUGUAUUAGCUAGUAGGUGAGGUAACGGCUCACCUAGGCGACGAUACAUAGCCGACCUGAGAGGGUGAUCGGCCACACUGGGACUGAGACACGGCCCAGACGCCUACGGGAGGCAGCAGUAGGGAAUCUUCGGCAAUGGACGAAAGUCUGACCGAGCAACGCCGCGUGAGUGAAGAAGGGUUUCGGAUCGUAAAGCUCUGUUGUAAGAGAAGAACGGGUGUGAGAGUGGAAAGUUCACACUGUGACGGUAUCUUACCAGAAAGGGACGGCUAACUACGUG
rnacentral:rRNA from 1 species